rnacentral:rRNA from 1 species
UACAGAGGUGGCAAGCGUUGUUCGGAAUUACUGGGCGUAAAGGGCUCGUAGGUGGCCAACUAAGUCAGACGUGAAAUCCCUCGGCUUAACCGGGGAACUGCGUCUGAUACUGGAUGGCUUGAGUUCGGGAGAGGGAUGCAGAAUUCCAGGUGUAGCGGUGAAAUGCGUAGAUAUCUGGAGGAAUACCGGUGGCGAAGGCGGCAUCCUGGACCGACAUUGACGCUGAAAGCCGAAAGCUAGGGGAGCAAACGGG